UCCGGUUUGUCACCGGCGGUCUCACUAGAGUGCCCUUUCGUAGCAACUAGUGACAAGGGUUGCGCUCGUUGCGGGACUUAACCCAACAUCUCACGACACGAGCUGACGACAGCCAUGCAGCACCUGUGCGCAGGUUCCCUUUCGGGCACCGGGACAUCUCUGCCCCGUUCCUGCCAUGUCAAGGGUAGGUAAGGUUUUUCGCGUUGCAUCGAAUUAAUCCACAUCAUCCACCGCUUGUGCGGGUCCCCGUCAAUUCCUUUGAGUUUUAAUCUUGCGACCGUACUCCCCAGGCGGUCGACUUCACGCGUUAGCUGCGUUACCGAGCCCGCAAGGACCCGACAACUAGUCGACAUCGUUUAGGGCGUGGACUAC
rnacentral:misc_RNA from 1 species